UGGGGAAUAUUGCACAAUGGAGGGAACUCUGAUGCAGCGACGCCGCGUGAGUGAUGAAGGAAUUCGUUUCGUAAAACUCUGUUCUAUGGGAAGAAAAUGACUGUACUAUAGGAGAAAGCUCCGGCUAAAUACGUGCCAGCAGCCGCGGUAAUACGUAUGGAGCGAGCGUUGUCCGGAAUUAUUGGGCGUAAAGGGUGCGCAGGCGGCUUUACAAGUUGGAUGUGAAAUAUUGUGGCUCAACCACAAACGUGCAUCCAAAACUGCAAAGCUGGAGUUAAGGAGAGGUAAGUGGAAUUCCUGGUGUAGCGGUGGAAUGCGUAGAUAUCAGGAGGAAUACCGGUGGCGAAGGCGACUUACUGGACUUAAACUGACGCUGAGGCACGAAAGCGUGGGGAGCAAACAGG
rnacentral:rRNA from 1 species